rnacentral:lncRNA from 1 species
CAAGGUUUUAGUUGAAAACAUGAAAUCAUCCAAUUUUUAAAAUAUUUAAAACAAAAUAACUCUUGGAUGAUUUUGGUGCAUAAGUAGAGAAUGUAAUGUAUGAAAAUCCUAGUGCACCAACAACCUUACAAAGAGAUCUUAUGAAGCUUGGGUCUUGAAAAACACUUCUCUUUGAGGUGGUCUUCUUCUUCAUGAUUUCUCCUUGGCUUGAUUUGUCUUUGUGAUUGCCACUUUGGAAAUCGUCUUGCCUAAUCACACUUGAAAUAUAAUCAUUAGUUCUAAACCUUAUUUUGUUAUCAUCAAAAUCAAGAUUAACCAAACCUUGGUUUCACAAAAUGAUCACAGGAAAAGUGUAUAACCAUGAAAAAGUAUUUGACUUUGAAAAAAAAAAUUAAAACAUGGUAGGUGACGAAUUGUGGGUUGUGAAAAAAAAAAUCAAAUGAAGAAGAUCAGAGACACGUGCCCUAUUUUCAAAAGAAAACGAAGGAAAAAUAAAAAGAAAAAGUGCACCACUAAUAGUAAACCACUUUGAAGAGCCCUUUUAAGGAUUAUGAGAGCGAUUUCAUUUGAAAGAAUUUCUUAAGAAUUAUCUAAAAAGUGCACCAAUAUUCUAUGAGCAACUCCUCAUAACGGAAUGUUGUAAUAGGGCGCUUUUCAGCUUAACAAUGGUAUUUUGUUGAACUCAUACCAUACAUAUACAUUUUGUUCUCUAGAGUAGAAUAAUGAGCUUAGAAGCAGUUUUGAUGAUUUAAUUAGGCUACCUUCUAUGCAUAUAUUAAAGAGAUGAACAAUUGGAACUCAAGUACGAAUUCAUAAGAAAAAGGAACAAAUAUAUUAGACAAGCCCACUCUCAAUAAACUUGGUCAACUCAUACAAAAAUAAGACCAAGGUUUUAAAGUAAUACAACCAAGGUAGAAUGAAAUAUUAGUUCCAAAUAGUUUGUAUUCUAAAGAUUAGAUAUAAC